rnacentral:tRNA from 2 species
GGGGAUAUGGCGAAAUUGGUAGACGCUACGGACUUAAAAUCCGUCGACUUUAGAAAUCGUGAG